AUUUAUAUAGUUUAAAA
rnacentral:tRNA from 1 species